UACGUAGGGGGGCAAGCGUUGUCCGGAAUCAUUGGGCGUAAAGAGCGUGUAGGCGGCCCGAUAAGUCCGCUGUGAAAGUCCAGGGCUCAACCCUGGGAUGCCGGUGGAUACUGUCGGGCUCGAGUCCGGAAGAGGAGUGUGGAAUUCCUGGUGUAGCGGUGAAAUGCGCAGAUAUCAGGAGGAACACCAAUGGCGAAGGCAGCACUCUGGGACGUGACUGACGCUGAGACGCGAAAGCGUGGGGGAGCAAACAGG
rnacentral:rRNA from 1 species